rnacentral:rRNA from 1 species
CAUAAUAUAAUGUUAAAGAGCCGCGGUAUUCUGACCGUGCAAAGGUAGCAUAAUCAUUAGUUCUUUAAUUGAGAACUUGUAUGAAUGGUCGGACAAGAGAAAUCCUGUCUCUGCUAUUAUAGUAGAAUUUAACUUUUAAGUGAAAAGGCUUAAAUUUUUCAAGGGGACGAUAAGACCCUAUAAAGCUUUAUAUAUUAAUUAGAAUUAAUUAAAUUGAAUAAAUAAAAAUUUAGUCUUAAAAAUAUAUUUAGUUGGGGCGACGAAAGUAUAAUUAAUAAUAACUGCUUAAAUUUAAUACAAUAAUAAAUGAUUUUUUUUAAUUGAUCCUUUUUAAAGAUUAAAGACCAAGUUACUUUAGGGAUAACAGCGUAAUUUU